rnacentral:rRNA from 1 species
UACGAAGGGGGGCGAGCGUUGUUCGGAUUUACUGGGCGUAAAGGGCGCGUAGGCGGCGGGUCAAGUCGAGUGUGAAAGCCCCGGGCUCAACCUGGGAAUUGCGCUCGAGACUGGUCUGCUUGAGUUCGGGAGAGGAGCGUGGAAUUCCCAGUGUAGAGGUGAAAUUCGUAGAUAUUGGGAAGAACACCGGUGGCGAAGGCGGCGCUCUGGACCGAGACUGACGCUGAGGCGCGAAAGCGUGGGGAGCAACAGG